GAAUGAUCGAGAGAUAGAGAGAGAGAGCAGAGUUUUCCGACCCGGAACGCGACCCGCGACUGGGUCCAACCGGAAAUCGCUCCUCCGGCCACCUAUCCACGGCGGACCACAUGCAAAAGCUUCGUAUCGGUAUCUCCUAUGUUCCUGUCGUCUCAGAUUAUACAUGCACUGAACAGAGACGGAGAAUCGACGACGAGAGGCCCGAACUUUCUCCGGAAACCUCUGCGAAUUCCGGCGACUCCGGCCAUCGAUUGGACUGCAUGUGACAAGAUAUUUGCAGCUUGCUUGGGUGGAUUACGUCGACAUCCUCAGUUCAUCACCAUCUCAGUCUCGGCAGUGUGUUGGGCUCGAUUUCAGUCGGUUUCCGAAGGACUCCAGUUACCCGAGGAACAGAAGGUUCGCGACUCUUGGAGUCUGGUUAUGUUAAAAUGUAAUGCAUACUAACCAAAUCGUGAGAGAUGUGAUGGCUUGAGAGUGAAAGGUGACACUGACUUUCUUGGGUUCGAUCCCCUUAACCUCCGGAGGGUUAGUUACGCCGGUCGUCUGAGUAUUCCAAUCAUAAUGACGGACUCGGUACGUGUGUGUAACUAGUUUGGAUGCAGGUACUGUGCACUGGUGACGGGACAAUAGCGGAUGGAUCUGGGUGUGUAGAACAAGUUCGGUAAAUUAUCGCCUAGAGUUUGUUCUGAAUUCUUUUCCUUGAAUUCCGUAUUCCGAAAUUUGUUGAUGAUUCGCUUUGUGUCUAAUUUGAUCGAAUUCUCAUUUCCUGAAGUUCGUACUUUCGUGUGUACAUUCAUUUCAAGUUCCGGACAAAUGAAAUAAAUUUUAGUGAUUUAAAGAUUUUCACCUCAAAAGUACUUGUAGCUUUCGCUGUGUUUUUCAAAAAGUUUUCAAACCAAAAUGCCUAGCGGUUCUCUAGGAUGUAAAUCGAGCGUUCGGUUUGUGUUUUAGAGACUCGCAGCACUGUAACGAGCUUAGGCUGGUGAGAUGCAGCUUGGGGCGUUACAGAAAGUGGUAUCAGAGCAAUGCUUUUUUGAUUUUGACGAAUUAAAAACCUCUGAUAUCCGAAAAAGUUUUUGUCGACUCAUGAAAAUUUUCAAAUUUUGUUAAAUAGUCGACUCGAGAAAUGCUUGUUCGAGAAUGUGUUUCCGAACCUUUGACUUGGAAAGUUGUGAGAACUUCUCCUUAUUGUUUGAAACUGUUUGACUUCGGUUUAGAAGACCGAGUCUCGAAAAACAUUUUGAAAUUUUUUUUGGAAAAUGUUUUGGAAAAAGGGUUUCGAAAAAUGGUUUUUGAAGGAGUUUCGAAAAGGUGUUUUGACCGGCUAUGUGGACAAGAGAUUAUUCUUUCAACUAUUCGAAUGUCUGGAUUUCUGUUGCUUAGCGAUUUACGUGUUUAACCCAAGCUGACUUUGAAAUGUGUUUUGUUAGAAAGAUGCUUCUUACUGGAAAAGGGAAGUUUUAGCGGAAAACGUUGUUUAACUUUAUCAUGGGUUUUUACAAUUGAGGUUUUUGAACAAAACCUUACACUGAUUUAAACAGUUUUUUGAAGUUCGUCUAGAGUCUUGAUUUCCGGUUAGGUCGUUCAACCAUCCAUAAGGGGUUUGUUGACUCAUAGAGUUAUUCUCCAAAGUUUGACUUGUUGUAUUGUUUGUUCUUCCUUUGGAUCCCUUAAUCCGAAAAUCAUUAUCCCUUCUUCAAAGGGUUGACUUAUGUUCCGACUUGUCCUUGUAAUUGAACUUGUGUUUGUGUGAUCUUUUAUUCUUUUGAAUGUUGAUAAAUUAUUGGAUUCAUUUUUCUACUUGAUUGUUUGCCAUUGCUUUGUUCAGUGAGUUUGGUUUGUUGAAAAUUGUGCUUAUUGCUAUUGUUGUUGGACUUGCUAUUUGAUUGUUCUUUGGAUAUCUUGUCAAGUCUCUAGCUUAGUUGAUUGCUUUCACAUAAUCAAUUGUUGUGAUCUAUCCUAAAUCUUUUCAUGUCCAACUGUUAUAUGUUCAUACACUGUGUUGAAUUGACUGAUGGAUUCACUUUCAAACUGUGUAUAUUCAUUUGUUGUGUUAUUAAGUGAAUCAUGUUCAUUGAAAUAUUGCCCAGAGUUUGCAUUUGUUUUCUAAACUUGAUCAAGUCCAAUUAUCGUGUAUGCUUUUAUUUGUUCUCUGAAUUUGAACGAGUAUUGCCACCCAAAGCUCAUCCACAGUGCACAGACCGCAACAAAGAUGUGAGCCCAUUAUGAGGUAAAAAUAAAAGGAGCAAGGUAGGUGAACGACAAACUUGAGUUUAUGUAAAUGUGAUUGAUGCUGGAUUGUUGAAAGUGAUUAUGUGAAUUAUGGUUGGUUGUUUAAUUGAGUUGUGGAGAUGUUGGUUUUGGAUUGAAAUGAAUACAGCAUAGGACUACGUACUAAGUCUGAUUUUGUUGAAUAAAUUGUAGUAUUGAAAGUUGUUCUUCAUUUCAGCUUGAUAAUGUCAUCCGAUGAGGAAGAGCCAUGAGAAGUGGAAGAAGUGAAUGAUGAUGAAAAUCCCGUAGAAGUAAGUUCAUUGAUUGGUUGAGAAACUAUGGAUACCUAAUCUAUAGUUAGCGGUCCCUCAGUUUACUUCCAGGCACAUCCAGAUUGGCCACUUUGGGGACUUGUGCAGCCUCCAGCGGAGCCUUUUGCAGGAGACUUACUGCAGGGGGACUGGACUGUGGGUCAGUAUACCUGUUUAUUCGCUCAUGGGCUUGAGGAGAAAAGGAGGGCUGGACAUGUGAGAUCAAAUUAGGCAGCCACAAGGAGCUACAUUCUUGGUUUCAACUCCAGGAUUCGGGAACAUAUGCUUCCAUAUUAUGAUAACAAUUGUCACUAUACUUCAUUAUCAGAUAGAGAUGAAACCGUUGAAAGAGUAAUGGGUAUCAUCGACACGAUUGAACACUAUAAAGCUCAUCACCUACUGAUUCCCGACACGUUUAAGGAGGAACUGUUCGCAUGUCAAUCAACAAAGGAUAUAUAUUUCGAGGAGUGUAGACUAUGAAAUAUAGUUCCGGUGUGGACCCACAAGUGUGUUUAUGAAAAUAGCGCACUUCGACUCGCCAGAGUAGAAAUGAAGUCUAUCUCACAACUGUUUCCAGAGUGGAUCAGCACAGCUUCGGUGCGUCUCCAACACUCCAACACACUAUUUUGUCUUCAAGAUCGAUCUCUUUUCAGUUUUUUUGUCAGCGUCGCGACUCCAACCCACGAUUUUGUCUUCAUGCACGUCUCUCGAUCUCUUUGAGGGAACUGAUUGAAAGGACGUGAGCGACA